CCCAGCAGGUGCUGCUAAAUACUUUAUCCCCUUUGGGUCUGAAGAUGCCACUUGUGUAAUGAGAGGAGAUCCAAUUACAGGGUUAUCCAAUUUACCUUCCCAAAAGCUUGCAGGGUCAAACCCAGGCUCUGGGUCAGAACAUUGCGGAGAAGUGUAGACUCAGGUCUGAACCACACAGCUGGCAAAGAGCAGCACACGCAGAACUCUCCACUUCAGAGCUACCACAAGAAACGCUUGUUAAAUUGGAGCAGGGUUUUCCAAAGCCAGGUAGGUAAGCACAUAUUCCUUUAUCUUACCGCUCUGAGUCUGGAGUUAGGUCAGUUUUGGGGGCAGAGUUCAGUUCCUGUUCCAUAAAGAAACAGAAGCUUCCAGACUUAUGGCCUGCCAAGCACUCAGCAUUUGUGUAUGACGUGAAUUAGUCUCUUCCUUGUCCUUCAUAACCGGUAACUGUGGAACAUCGGGCCAUGAGGUCUAUGGCCAGUAUAUUAUCAGGCUUCCCCUAAUGUUAGCUUCCAGACCUUGAUUAUGACGGCUUAUUUAGCCAUAUUAUCAUCAUCAUUAUUUGAAUUCCCGGAGCAUCUAGAGGCCUCCGGUCAGGAUCAGGGCCCCACUGUGUUGAUGACGUUGAACAAAUAACAGUCCCUACCCCAGACAGUUCUCAGUCUCAGAACUCACUGCCGCCUCCUUCAUCUUGAAAUCUCAAAGGCCUCUGUUGUCUGGAGAGACAGAGGCCAUUUUGUGUUUAAAAUUGGUGUGUGUUUCACUGCUUUCCCACUUGCACCUGACGUGAAAUGUGCCUCACCAUUUAGGUCCUUGCUGAGUUGGACUGUCUCCUGUGCCGUCCAGCUGUUGCUCGCGAAAUAAGGAGGAGCUACAUUUCAAAAUUCACUUAAAAGCAAUAUCAAAAAACCCGGAAAGGCUUUGAUCUUUCUAAAUAUUCCCUUUGUUCUGUCAUUCGGCAAUUCCUGUGUGCUUCAAAGGUAAGGUAACAAUCCACUCUCUGUACUCUUCCCUGAACUGUGGUCAUAAACUCACCCCUGAAAUACAGUUUAAAUAACCCAGAGCCCUACAACCUUCAAAUCAAGUAAAGAAGAUCUUUCCACUAUUCAUUUUGUUAGAUUAAUAAAAGGCUACAAUUUU